rnacentral:rRNA from 1 species
GAUGAACGCUAGCUACAGGCUUAACACAUGCAAGUCGAGGGGCAGCGCAGUGUAGCAAUACAUGGGCGGCGACCGGCGCACGGGUGCGUAACGCGUAUCCAACCUUCCCGUUACUCAGGGAUAGCCUUCCGAAAGGGAGAUUAAUACCUGAUGGUGUUCAAAUUCCGCAUGUUAUUUGAACUAAAGAUUUAUCGGUAACGGAUGGGGAUGCGUGACAUUAGGUAGAUGGCGGGGUAACGGCCCACCAUGCCUACGAUGUCUAGGGGUUCUGAGAGGAAGGUCCCCCACACUGGAACUGAGACACGGUCCAGACUCCUACGGGAGGCAGCAGUGAGGAAUAUUGGUCAAUGGUCGGAAGACUGAACCAGCCAAGUAGCGUGAAGGAUGAAGGUUCUAUGGAUUGUAAACUUCUUUUAUACGGGAAUAAAACCACCUACGUGUAGGUGCUUGUAUGUACCGUAUGAAUAAGCAUCGGCUAACUCCGUGCCAGCCGCCGCAGUAAUAC